GCUUUUCCUACGUAAAAUUGCGUGAUAAACACAACGCCGUCAAUGAAAUUGAGCUGGCAUUCGGAUAUCGGAGACCAAAACACAUAGGAAUAUCGAAGAAAACUUAAUUGAAAAAGUUCUGAAUUAUCAUCUCAAAUUCUGAGAAAUCUCAUCGAGACACACAGAUCAAUUAGGACUAAUACCAGAUGCUACGCGUGAACUCAAAGAAGUUUUAUUUUGGGUAGGAAUCCUUCUGAACAAAGACCCGUUAAGUUCUGGUUGAGAUUCAUCAUAUUUUCUCACCUCUCUUUCAUCUUCAUUUCCGGGAAAGCAUUGAGGCAUUGUGGUCUCUGAGGCAACGGUGAUACUGCACCCGCAUAGAAAAUACAAGACUUUCCUCGAUGCAUUCACACACACUGGACUUGUAGUCAAUAUCCUGUAGUUCGGUGAUUCAUACAUCCAAUUUUUAUGUGUUCCGAGUGGAUACUUACGUAGAAAUGAACAAUAAUGUAUACCUCCCGUAUCUUAGAGAACAAUAAGUGAAUAAUUGAUGAUAAUUAAAAUGAAACUAUCGGCCAUACUCUUGUAACGCAUCAAUUAUAAGCAUACAAAAAUGAAUUUAUAUUGUCCAUUGCAAAGUCUCAAUAUGUAUUCUUGACGAUUGAUUUAUUAAUAAAAACUCUCUGUAACU